CAGCUUCUAUGUUUCCUCGUCGUCGGCCUGACAUGUAUCUUCGCCACAUCAUCGUCUUAAACAAAAUUGGUGUUCAAGUUAAUUCUCUCAAGAUCUGUCGUAGGCAAUGCAUUUGGUUCUCGAGAGAAUACCGAGAAAACUCCACCAAACAAAUAUGGAUUGCUUGGAGAUGGGGUCAGAUUUAGGGGUGAUUCACCAAUUUUACCAAUCACUCUCCAUUUU
rnacentral:lncRNA from 1 species